AGUGAACGCUGGCGGUAGGCCUAACACAUGCAAGUCGAACGGCAGCACAGUAAGAGCUUGCUCUUACGGGUGGCGAGUGGCGGACGGGUGAGGAAUACAUCGGAAUCUACUUUUUCGUGGGGGAUAACGUAGGGAAACUUACGCUAAUACCGCAUACGACCUACGGGUGAAAGCAGGGGAUCUUCGGACCUUGCGCGAUUGAAUGAGCCGAUGUCGGAUUAGCUAGUUGGCGGGGUAAAGGCCCACCAAGGCGACGAUCCGUAGCUGGUCUGAGAGGAUGGUCAGCCACACUGGAACUGAGACACGGUCCAGACUCCUACGGGAGGCAGCAGUGGGGAAUAUUGGACAAUGGGCGCAAGCCUGAUCCAGCCAUACCGCGUGGGUGAGGAAGGCCUUCGGGUUGUAAAGCCCUUUUGUUGGGAAAGAAAAGCAGCAGGUUAAUACCCCGCUGUUCUGACGGUACCCAAAGAAUAAGCACCGGCUAACUUCGUG
rnacentral:rRNA from 1 species